rnacentral:rRNA from 1 species
AACGAACGCUGGCGGCAUGCCUAACACAUGCAAGUCGAACGAAGGCUUCGGCCUUAGUGGCGCACGGGUGCGUAACGCGUGGGAAUCUGCCCUUGGGUUCGGAAUAACUCAGAGAAAUUUGAGCUAAUACCGGAUGAUGACGUAAGUCCAAAGAUUUAUCGCCCAAGGAUGAGCCCGCGUAAGAUUAGCUAGUUGGUGGGGUAAAGGCCUACCAAGGCGACGAUCUUUAGCUGGUCUGAGAGGAUGAUCAGCCACACUGGGACUGAGACACGGCCCAGACUCCUACGGGAGGCAGCAGUGGGGAAUAUUGGACAAUGGGCGAAAGCCUGAUCCAGCAAUGUCGCGUGAGUGAUGAAGGCCUUAGGGUUGUAAAGCUCUUUUACCAGGGAUGAUAAUGACAGUACCUGGAGAAUAAGCUCCGGCUAACUCCGUG